GAAUUUAUAUUAAAGGGCUGCGGUAAAUUAACCGUGCAAAGGUAGCAUAAUCAGUAGUCUUUUAAUUGAAGGCUGGAAUGAACGGUUGGACGAAAAGAAAGCUGUCUUUCGUUAUUAUUAUUGAAUUUAACAUUUGUGUGAAAAGGCAUGAAUAAGUUGAGGGGACGAUAAGACCCUAUAAAAUUUAAUAUAUUUUAUUAUUUUUUGAAAAAGUUGAUUAAUUAUAAAAUGAGAUUAAGUAUUUUGCUGGGGCGGCAUGAAUAUAAAUUACUAACUGUUUAUUUAAUUUAAUAUAAUUUAUAGAUUAUGAUCCUUUAUUAAGGAGUAAAGAGUAAAUUACUUUAGGGAUAACAGCAUAAUUUUUUCUGAGAGUUCUUAUCGAAGAAAUAAGUUGUGACCUCGAUGUUGAAUUAAAAUUUUCUUCUUGAGUAGAGAUUUGGAAGAAAGGACUGUUCGU
rnacentral:rRNA from 1 species